rnacentral:lncRNA from 1 species
UCUAAAAUAAAAUAAAAAUAUUUUCUAUUUUUUACUUUCCUUAUCUCCUUUCUCUCUCUUACUAAUUUUUGAAUUUUUUUUGGGUAUUAUUUAAUCAGGAAUCAAAAAGGAAAUUUGGGACGAUCAAAAAGAGAACUGCUGGAAAAGGAAUGCUGUAGAGGUUUGCUUUAAAAUAAAAAAUUACUGGGAAAAUUCCCUUUGGUAACAUCUGAACCUUUGUUAUUUAAAUUGAUGCCAAAUUAGCUUGAAAUUUUAUAGUGAUUGUUUGCUUUUAAUUUCAAUAAAAGUGUGAAUGCAUGCUUGAUACACAUGCACCAAUUAACCCGCACAUAGUAAGGGCAAUCACCCCAACAAGAUAAGAACUGAAUUUCAUCACUAGAUUCUUGCCCAAACUAGGUGAACCAAUUCGCACAUAGCUAUCACUUUAAUUAAAAUCAAUUAGACGUUGGCCCCUAGGGACAUUCGAGCUCAAUAGGAUGAAGAUCACCGAAAGUUGCACCAAUUUCGCUCUGUGGCUCAGUUGAUGUCUAGGCAAGCUUUGUCCC